UAGAAUGGAGAUACCAUAAACUCUGCUAGUACUAUUUGGUUUAUGAUAGUUCUAGAGGUCUUUUUUUUUUUUUUAGGGUCUGUAAAUUAUAGGUGUAAAUUAUAGGUAUCUGUAAUAAUAGGUGGUCAAACUUGAGGUGAGAAAGAAUGAAUGAGACCUUUCCCUUUUCUCCAGUGUUUAAGUUAUUAAUCAGAAACAGUAUCAGGUGAUUUUUUUUUCUCAUUAAGUUAAUUUGUGUAAACAAAAAUAAGGCAGUUAAUUUUCCCCAAAGAGAUCUUGUCUGACAUCUUGAGUUAGCUGGGACUUAUUGUGGAGAUUUUGUUUUUGAUUCUCCCUAAAAUUAUUCAGAUUAUUUUUGCUACCCAGCAUUCAUUGAAGGAAUGACAAUCCUUGUCUUGGAAGUAAUGUGUGAUAUCUAGUUUCUAGAAAGAGACAGGUAUUUCUUGAAAACAUCCAGCUUUGCCAUGAGCUCUCCUUUCAGUCUUUCAGGUCUAUAUUGCUUUGUUUUCAGGAUAGUUACUAUUUUCACCCACCCAAACAUCCAAUGAUUCUUUUUCAGCUGAGAUCAUGAGCAUGGCCUUCUAAAAUAACAGGAGGAGAUGUAAGACACUGCUGAUGGUCAAACAUUGUUCUGUUGUGAGGGAAGUGAUGCUUGAGCUCUGCAGUUGAAGUCUGAAGACAGUGGCUUUUCACCUCCUGAAGGUUCUGUUGGAUGUUGUUGGGCUGGAGCAUGAUUGUUUCCUUCCUUCUCUGCAGAGCUAGUUGGUCAAGUCCCAGAUGACACUUGGAGGAAGCUGAGGAAGUCUGCUGGUGUGCAAAAGUGGGGUCUGUUGUUCAGAACUUGCUGUCUUAGUUUCUUUAUAUUCCUGUCCAUGCGUCAGUAUUCUCUUUCUGCCUUAUACUGAGUGUAAGCUCUUUAAGGCAAAAAUAACCUUUCUCUGUACAGCAUCCUGCAGAGUGGACUUCUGUUUUGUGAGAAAGGUUUCCAAUUAUCGUGGUGUAUAAAUAGUUACGGGUCUAUGCUGGUGACCAGUGUUCUUAUCAUAGUACCUCCAAAGCCAUCUGCAAAUAAUUUAUAACUGGAACGACCCAUUUACACUAGAGGCUCUCAAAAUUGAAGCUUUCUGCAGGGUAUCCAAAAUAAACAGGAAUUGAAAAGGGAUCUGGAAAAAUUAGUUCUGAGUUCUCAAGCUGUAUGAGUUGUUUUUUUUUUUUGGUAGGAUGCAACCAAAAUACCAAGUUUGGAGUGGAAUAUUAAUUACAUCAUGAGAUAGAUGCUGAAAUACUGGUUUUGAAAAAGCACAAGACACACAUGGACAUAGUGAAAGUUUUUAUUGUUUUAGCUUAUUUUCACUGGACUUGUAAAAUUAAUGAGGUGACAUAAAGCAAGUGAUUUUAUCUGCGUCUGGGUGAGUUCCAUCACAAGAUGAGAGAGAAAAGGAGGGGACUGGGAAGAAAACAAGACAGGAGCCUGUUCUUGAACAGCCAGUUGAGGAGGCGGAGAAAGUCAGUCACGCUUGUCAAUUAUCUUUUUGUUUUGCUGUCUUCUGUAGUGGGUCUUCCAAAAAUACAGGGAUCUUAAAUUCCCUAACGACAGAAGACUUAAAACACGUGUGAUUUGUUUGAGAGCACUGCAUAACUGUGUUCUGUUUUGAAGCUGGUAUUGCUGAGUGAUUAGACUGUGGUACCAGGAAAUGAAAAAUAUCCGUGUCUUGCAUCUGAAUGAUGGGAGGAUAUGAACAAGGCAUGCUGAAGAAGUCCCUUCAGAUUUUACUUUUUCAUCCUUCAGGAUUUUGGUCUCUCGAGAGAAAAUAACUGAAAUACUUGGACGGGGGGAGGAGUAAGUUGAUGGCUACAGCUGCACAGGGAAGAACCUUCUGGUGGUGGUUCUUGGACAUCUGCCUGACCUCCUCAUCUCCCACCUGCGCCGUGGCUCUCUGCAGGUGUAUCUAAAUGUCACCAGCAGCCACAAGAAGAAGAGCUCUCACCAACCUUGAUCUGCAUCCUUCCCUGUUGCAGUAGAGGAAGGGAAGCCUGCAGCUGCUAUAUCCAAAGGGACCAGCAAGGGAACAGGGUCUGCCCACUGAGAAGGACUCUGCAGAUGCGCCACAUUUGGUUUUAUGGUGAUACUGGGCUCGCUUGCUCUUGUCACUCUGUUGCAUAACAAAUGAUAGUGCUUCAGGAGACUAUUUAAGAUGCUGUGUUAUAAUAAAGCAAGAUUCAGUGCUUUCGGGUGA